GACGCGGUAAUACGGAGGGUGCAAACGUUGCUCGGAAUCAUUGGGCGUAAAGCGCGCGUAGGCGGCUUGGCAAGUUGGAUGUGAAAGCCCUGGGCUCAACCCAGGAUGUGCAUUCAAAACUGCCGGGCUUGAAUCUCGGAGGGGGUCAGGGAAUGCCCGGUGUAGAGGUGAAAUUCGUAGAUAUCGGGAGGAACACCAGUGGCGAAGGCGCUGGCCUGGACGAUGAUUGACGCUGAGGCGCGAAAGCGUGGGGAGCAAACAG
rnacentral:rRNA from 1 species